UGGAUACACAAGCAUCUACUUACUGGUCCUUGCAGGACGUGUCCCAUCGACAGAAUUCGUCAUUUCCAAAGCUCAAGCAACCUUAGGCUAGGACUCUGGCAUGACAUCACCCAGCAAUGGCAUCCAAGCUGAACUCUGAAAAAAACAGACCAACAUUUCACUGACUAAGUGCCAGCAGCACUUGUGUGGCUAUUCAUACUGUGUGGAGCAUGUGAUGCACACCAAAAGGGAAAAUAACGGUGUGAAUGCUUACUGCUUGUACAAUCCAUACCUGAUAACCAGUGAACCUUGCUGGGCAGUGGAAGCUGUUGCUUUUGAAGAUUGGUCGUAUGGAUCAUCAUGUGUCUUUGGGCAUUUUUGGAGCAUAUCACCCAUAAAAGUCUGCGUUGAUAGUAGUAAAUUUCUUCUAGGGCUUUAAGAGAGGAGCAUGAGUUUUGCAAUACUGUAGGACUAAAAAACUCCCUUAAGAGUCCAGCCUUCAAUUUUCUUGGGCAAUGUGACUUGGAAAGAUUUGGUCCGAGAUACUCAAAACCCUUCCAAAUGCAGCAGAGAAGCUAGGCGAUGAAAUAACUCUAUUAUACGUACCAGAAAAUUAGUGUUGCUCAAUGAGUAUCAAUAAAACAAAUGGAGGUCACCUCCUAAUUUUUUAGAACGUGAUACAAAGCAGUUAGAUUGUUCAAAAUCAAGCAAUGGGAUUGGCUGCACUGUGUUUGGAGAUGAAGUUUCUUCGAGGCUAAACUUCCAGAUUGUUUGUGUGCAUGUAGCAGAGAUGACAGCUGUAGCUUAAGAUCCGGAUACAGCAUGCCACUCAAAACACAAGGAUGUGAUGCAGAAGAGAAUGUGCUAUGCUGGAAUGAAGACUAGAACUUAUGUUCUUGUUGAUAGAUUCAUCUUCCUGAAUUUUGACUUUUUCAUAAGACUUCAUAAUUUUUUGUAGCGUAAGAUGCCUUGUAGACUGAAUGACUACUUGGACACUCGAGGAAAAAAAAUCAUUGAGCCAUGAAGGACUCAUUGAGAACCAAGAAGAAACAAAUAUAUGAGAAAUGAAGGACUCUGGGGGCUACUGUUCCAAGAAGAAAAAAACUUUGAGCCAAUAAUCCACGGCUGUUAUAAAGAAAAAUUCUGGAUCCUACACUCGUUUUUUAAAACUUUGGUUUCUCUCUUAUUUUGUAUAUUUAUUAAUUUUUUUCACAUUUAGUUUUUCCUGAAAGAUAUGUACAUUGUUAAUAUUCAUAUUCAAUGACAAAACUUAGUUCAUUUUACUCUGUUUAUGGACCUUAAAAAUUUAUUUAAAACACUAACAUCAAAUCAUCAUUUAUAAAUGCUAGUUAUGUUUUGGACCUUAAAUAUUUAACAUUUGAUGUUAAUGAUCAUCUAUAAAUGCUAGUUAUUCAGUACAGUAGUAUAACAUCAAAUGAUCAUC